AUCUAGAUCUAUACUUCAGAGUUCACACAAAACCUCCCUCCGUUGAGCGUUUAUUUCUGUGCCGAAAUGAUUAUGGAGAUCAAGGUUAUAAAUGAUCUAGUGACCGUCAUACAGUCAUACUUCAAAUGGAGUAUAUCUCAUAUACUAUGGAGGGGAGAAGGGAAAUGGUUUGAUUUGGAUGCUUGGUAUGAGUGGAGUCGGAAAUUGGGUUUUUAUUUGUGUUCUUCUUAAUUUGAUUUCCUGGUUGUUCAGAGGUUUAAGGUGUAGUUCCUGUUCUGGUAAGUGAAAAUGAACAGAGUGUUAACCACCAACAACUGCAGAAGCAUCGGAAGAAGCAGCGGAGAUCUCGCCUGUGGAGUCAAUCGUACCCCCAAACUGAGAGUUCCCCCGAAGAAAAUCUUAACUAAAGUAAAAAAGUAUUAAAGAGCUACAUCCCUGCCAUCAAAAGCAUUUCUAAGUAUUAACAAAUUCACUCUGUUUACAGAUUUUUUUUAGCAAGUCAUCCUGCAAUUUUUUUUAGUAAGCAUUUCUAAAAGUAUUAAACAGCUUAAAGACGUGAAGUGUAUGUGAUUUUGCCUCGUCCUGCAAUUUCGUUUCAAGCUGGCUAGAAGAAUUGUAGAUGUUAACAUUAAAUUAAAGGUUCCGAUGAUGAUACCGUUUUCUGAUUGGGAUUUUGGCUACUUCUAUCAUUAAAUAAUCAAAGGAUUCAAACAGCUGAGGGAGUAAAGAAUCAAGUUGGCGAGUCAACAACAGAGGGAAUUGAGAUGAGUUUAGAGAACUAAGUUGAAUAUUCAAUGACAGUGCAAACUAAGAGUAGUUCACUAGAGGUCCUAACAAUGAUGUAGUUUUCUGAUUGCCAUUGUGACUUCUCCACUUAUGAGUAAGUCUUGUUUUUCUCAUUUCAUUGAUUUUUGCCUAAAUUUUAGAUGUUUACUUGA